rnacentral:rRNA from 1 species
AUACGGAGGAUCCGAGCGUUAUCCGGAUUUAUUGGGUUUAAAGGGUGCGCAGGCGGGAGAUUAAGUCGGCGGUGAAAUUUUGCAGCUCAACUGUAAAAGUGCCUUCGAAACUGGUUUUCUUGAGUAUGGAUGAAGUAGGCGGAAUUUGUGGUGUAGCGGUGAAAUGCAUAGAUAUCACGAGGAACUCCGAUUGCGCAGGCAGCUUACUAAGCCAUAACUGACGCUCAUGCACGAAGGCGUGGGGAUCAAACAGGAUUAGAUACCCUGGUAGUCCACGCAGUAAACGAUGAUUACUAGCUGUUUGCGAUACAAUGUAAGCGGCUGAGCGAAAGCGUUAAGUAAUCCACCUGGGGAGUACGUUCGCAAGAAUGAAACUCAAAUGAAUUGACGGGG